GUGCUCGCUUCGGCAGCGCAUAUGCUAAAACGGGAACGACGCAGAGAAGAGCAGCACGGCCCCUGCGCAAGGAUGACACGCCAAUUCAUGAACCAUUCCAUAUUAAA
rnacentral:snRNA from 1 species